UACGUAGGGUGCAAGCGUUAAUCGGAAUUACUGGGCGUAAAGCGUGCGCAGGCGGUUAUGUAAGACAGGUGUGAAAUCCCAGGGCUUAACCUUGGAACUGCAUUUGUGACUGCAUAGCUAGAGUACGGUAGAGGGGGAUGGAAUUCCUGGUGUAGCAGUGAAAUGCGUAGAUAUCAGGAGGAACAUCGAUGGCGAAGGCAGCCCCUUGGACCUGUACUGACGCUCAUGCACGAAAGCGUGGGGAGCAAACAGG
rnacentral:rRNA from 1 species